rnacentral:rRNA from 1 species
GAUGAACGCUGGCGGCGUGCCUAAUACACGCAAGUCGAGCGAACGGACGAGAAGCUUGCUUCUCUGAUGUUAGCGGCGGACGGGUGAGUAACACGUGGAUAACCUACCUAUAAGACUGGGAUAACUUCGGGAAGCCGUAGCUAAUACCGGAUAAUAUUUUGAACCGCAUGGUUCAAAAGUGAAAGACGGUCUUGCUGUCACUUAUAGAUGGAUCCGCGCUGCAUUAGCUAGUUGGUAAGGUAACGGCUUACCAAGGCAACGAUGCAUAGCCGACCUGAGAGGGUGAUCGGCCACACUGGAACUGAGACACGGUCCAGACUCCUACGGGAGGCAGCAGUAGGGAAUCUUCCGCAAUGGGCGAAAGCCUGACGGAGCAACGCCGCGUGAGUGAUGAAGGUCUUCGGAUCGUAAAACUCUGUUAUUAGGGAAGAACAUAUGUGUAAGUAACUGUGCACAUCUUGACGGUACCUAAUCAGAAAGCCACGGCUAACUACGUG